ensembl:lncRNA
UCUUGAACCAAAAUUGUUCUUGCAUGCUGCUGUGGCCUUUUUCAUCCAUUUUAUCAGUUUUCUAAUCCAGCUUUUUAUGAGAUAUAGGUGCUUCUAACAGAAUUUUCAGAUUUAAAAAAAAUAUUUUAAAGAGUUUCAGUAAGAGAAGGGGAAAUUUCUCUUAUCCAGUUGUUCAAGAUAUAGCAUGAAGCAGUGGGCUGAAACUGAAGAGAAAUUGCUGUCAACUGAAGAAGAAAUACUGUCCAAACCUACUGGGGUCAAAACACAGAAUUAAGCUGUUAGUGCUUGCUAUUGUUUAUAAGGAAAGUGCCGCAACUCAGUGAUAAACUGGAUGUUUUCAAUGCAGAAGAUUCCAGGUUCUGUCCCAGCCAUCUCCAGGUUCUUCCAUCUGCCAAUUCUCCAAUAGAAUGUGGAUUUCCUGGGCUCUUAUCUUCUUUCCCCAAAGCAUGUCCCUUGAAGAUUGCCAAUAUGAGUCUUUCGGGAGCAAUCAGCCAUGCAUAUGUGACUGAGUUUGGUUUUCCCGAUACUAUUGAUGAAGUAAAUGGAAGCGAGGCAAACAAAAGUCGGAAACCAAAGAAUACAGCCCUGGGAUUGUGUAGUUCUCGGAGCAUUCAUCCUGAAUUAGCCAUGAGGCAAGCCAAAAGUACAUUGGGUAACUUUCCAAGCCAUGGGACUUCAUAGUUCAUGCUUGCUGAAUAAUUGUCACAAUACAUUUUCAUUUUGCUGCAGUGAAAUUACAGAACUGUCCCUCUGGAAAUUCCUGGAGACCAUUUUGAGCACUAGACUGAGGAAUGUUGGUAUACAUAAAAACGUAACACCUGAUACUUGUGUGCAUAUGAAUUUCCAUUCAACAAUAUUGUAAAUCAGUUUUAUUUGUUAAUGGAAAGAAAAAGACCACUACAAACCAUGAUUUUCCAGAUGUAAUAUGCUGUUGCUAAUAGAAAUGUUCUCUAUUUCAUUGUAUUAGCAGGGUGCUUUUUCUGUCAUGUCACCAUAUGCCGGGAUUCCCAAUAUUAUGUAUGUCUGGGUAGAAACACAUUCUGUUAUGUGUUAAGCAGGAAAACAAGAGUUCCAAAAUUAUGAUGUUAUAAGUGACAGAAGGCUGACUGAAUGAUUUUUUAAAAAUUAUUUUUGGCUUUUGAGAAAUAGUAAUUGUAAAGAAAAAAAUAUAAUAUUCCCAUCAAUUCCUAUAAAUAUGUGCAAUUGAGAAGAGUUGGAAAAUAUCCAUGUAUAUGUUGGAAUCUCAUAUGUGGAUUAAAUCAAAGCAUGAUUUCUAAACAGAAAGCUUAUAUGAAAUGAUUACUAUAAAACAAUAACAUCUCCAGACAUAAUGCCUCAUGUCUGGCACUUCACAAAAAGAAAAAUAUAUUAAUUUGUUUUAGAGAGCAUGAAGAAAGAGCUUACACGUCUACCGCAGGAUGGAGCCUGUCAGAAAAGCAGAGCAAAAUAAUCUGUCAAAGGGUACAUUGCCAUACUGGAAAUCAUUCUGUGGGUGGGUUUACACAUUAAAGCCAACUCAGUUUGACAAAAAGUUUGGAAUGUUCACAAAUCAUUGAGUUAUCACAUUAAAAAAUGCGCAAGUUUCAUUUUAUCCUGGUUUAACAUGUUCCAGUUACAUCUGAGUAAGAAGAAAAGGUAUGAGGUAGAUGAAGGUUUGAAUAUAAACUGCUUUCUACUGGUUUUGUAGGUCAUGGAGCAUUUAUAGCUAUGACCAUCUUUACAAUUGAUCUUAGGCAAAAGAAUUGAUAGAACAGAUCCUUAUAUCAGGGACCCUGAUGUAAGGAAACAUUCAGCAACCAGUAGGCAGAGAAAGAACUAAUCAGUUUGCCCUUCUUCUCAUAGCUUAUUGCUCUGUCAAUUUCUGUGAGUUAUACAUAUUUAAAGUGGGGGGGGUGAGUUGUGCCCAAUUCACCUAGGCCAUCAGUCUCAAAUCAAGUACAUUGUGUUGGUUAUUUAUUUACUAGUGUUCAAGAGUGGUGUGAGUAAAGUUCAUCAAUGCUGACAUUUGCCUGAAGGCCCCCACGGCAAGCAGAUUCUUCCUGUGAGCCUCCAGUUUAAUAUGCCACAUGACUGGGAUUGUAUGCCAGAUCUUGGGAUCUUCUGGGAAAUUAAAUUGAUUGCUCUCAGGAACCCCUAGAUGGUUGAUACUGUGUCUGCCUCUGCCACCACUCUCCCCGGGGUCAGGAAGUUCAUUUUAUUCAAAGCACCCUCAGAACUAGGUAUGUAGUCACAUGUUUAUUCUUAAAAUGUAGUUUAUUUAAUGCCUUAAAAUUAAAUUUAAAACAGUCAUGAGCAUACUUUAUUACAAAUGUAUACCCAUGUUAUUUUUAAAAUAAUUACAAUAAAAUACAACACUUUCUAUUAAAAAUGAAAAGGAAGUGAAUAACAUCACAAUUAUGAAAUCCCCAAUUAUAACUUCAAAAAGGCAGCUAUGAUCUUAUAGAUAACGAUCUCUCAUCCCUUGAUUGGUAAUUUCUAUUCACUGGAUGCAAUACUGUUGAAGACAUAUUUUUAUAUGAAGUCAAAAGAGUCAUCAAACAAUAUGUACCAAUAACAACUCCCAAAACCAGAAAAAAACAGGUUACCCAUAACAAUAAAAAAGUAAAAGUUGUUCUUUUUUAUAAAAAAUUAAAUAUUUAUAUAAAUAUUUAUAAUAUUUACAUACAAGACAUGCCCAGCCAGUCACAUGACCACCAAGCCACACCCACAAAUUAGGCCACACCCACAGAACUGUUUAGUGAUCCCUGGGAUCUAAAAUUAUGAGUUUGGUGGUCCCUGAAGUCCAAAAGGUUGGAGACCCCUGAACUAGAGCAUACAAAAUAUUUGCUAGACCAAUACUCGAAUACAGCUCAUCAAUCUGGAACCCACAUUACACAUCUGAUAUUAACAUAGUUAAUAUGUUGAGAAAGUCCAGAAAUAUUUCACAAGAACAGUUCUCCACUCCUCUACUCGUUAUAGAAUACCUUAUGCCACCAGACUCGAAAUUCUAGACCUACAAAAUCUAGAAUUAUGCUGCCUUUGUUCCAAUCUCGGUAUAGUAUAUAAAAUCAUACAUUGUAAUGUCCUACCUGUCAAUGAAUACUUCAGCUUCAACCAUAACAAAAUGAACUUGAUUGCAGGAAAUACGACUUCAACAACAGAGUGAUCAAUGUCUGGAAUACUCUAUCUGACUCUGGUUUCUUCCCCAAACCCCAAAAACUUUUAACCUUAGGCUGUCUACUAUUUACUUCACCCCUUUCUUCAGAGGUCUAUAGGGGGUGUGCAUAAGCGCACCAACGUGCCUACCGUCCUUGUCCUAUUGUUUCUUUUUAUUUUUCUUAUUUAUGUAUAUUUCAUGUAUUCAUAACUAUGUUUAUACAGUACUUAUACCUAUUAUCUUGUAAGUAAUUGACAAAUAAAUAAAUAUUGC